AGUCUUAUUUCAAUACUCCUCCUAAUUUGCAUUACAGAUAGCAACACAAGGAAAGAAAAUCACUUUACCCAACAAAAGAAUUUUCAACACCCACUCCAAUUAAUGGAGAUGGUGUCUGCAAGAUUGGAAGAGACACAAGGUUCCAAAUGCGAACAACAUACGGUAACAACAAAUGAGCAUUUAGCUUUGAGGAUGAUGAUAAUUAUUUUACCUGCGGCUGUGAUUUUCUUGAUUAAGACAUGUCUUCUUCUAACUACGAAAUGGUGGGUAUGCCCAUGGAAAAUAAGUAUUAUGAAAUUUGAAGAGACAAGUUAAAUACUUUGAUGAACUUCUUGAAAAAUUGCUAAGGAACAUUGAAGAUUUGUGGUUUGGUUUUGAUAAACACUUAUUUUUUUGUGGGUUAUUAGGACAGUUAAAAGUAGAUGAUUUUUUAAAACUAAUAAUUUUUAAUAUUUUAUAGUUUAUUGGUUGACUCAUGUCUUCUGACUAUAAGAAAACUCAAAAAUAUUAAAGAAUUAUUAUGGAUGACGUAGUUCCGAUAUAUUUUUUUGGAAAAUUUAAGAUUUGUGGUUUGGUUUAGGUAAAUGCUUACUUCUUGAUAAGGCAAUGGAACAAUAGAAAGUAGAGUCUUUCAUAAAAUCAAUAAUUUUCAAUAUUUUGAAAGUAUAUAAAAAUGCAUAACCAUUGUUCAAUUAUAUGGUGAUAGCAAUUCACAUUGGGUCAAUAAUGCAUCAUAUUGAUUUUUGUAAAGAUAUUGAAGAAAAAAUAAUGUAUUUAUGGCUUAAGAUAGUUAGAUUACCUCGCCAUGCAUGUCAUCAUGCGAUAGAUUCAAAUUUGAAAUAGAUUAUUCAUAUUUGGUUUUAGAGAAUUUCCCAAACCACAAAUGGGUGUGUUUGGAUUGGCGGUGGCCAGAUUUAAGUUUGAUAGAAUUGAUAUUUAAUAUAGUUGAGUUUAAAAUAAUUGAUUUAUGUUGGGAUACAAUGAUAUAGAAGUGAUUGUUAUCAAUUAAUGUUGUUUGGAUAGUUUUAACAAAAUUGAUUUUGAAUUGUAUAAUUACCAAAAUGAUAAUAAAUUCUAGUACAAAUCAAAAAGAAAAUAAGUAAUUAAUGAAAA